CCUACGGGGGGCUGCAGUAGGGAAUCUUCCGCAAUGGACGAAAGUCUGACGGAGCAACGCCGCGUGAGCGAAGAAGGUCUUCGGAUCGUAACGCUCUGUUGUUAGGGAAGAACAAGUACGGGAGGACAUGACCGUACCUUGACGGUACCUGACGAGGAAGCCACGGAUAACUACGUGCCAGCAGCCGCGGUAAUACGUAGGUGGCAAGCGUUGUGCUGAAUUAUUGGGCGUAAAGCGCGCGCAGGCGGUAUUUUAAGUCUGAUGUGCAAUCUUGAGGCUCAACAGCAGGCGGUCAUUGGAAACUGGAGGACUGGAGUGCUGAAGAGGAAAGCGGAAUUCCACGUGUAGCGGUGAAAUGCUUAGAGAUGUGGAGGAGCACCAGUGGUGAAGGCGGCUUUCUGGUCUGUAACUGACGCUGAAGCGCGAAAGCGUGGGAAGCAAACAGGAGUAGAUACCCCUGUAGUC
rnacentral:rRNA from 1 species